GACGAACCGAGCGAACGUUGUUCGGAAUCACUGGGCUUAAAGGGCGCGUAGGCGGGUGCUCAAGUCCGGGGUGAAAUCCCACAGCUCAACUGUGGAACUGCCUCGGAUACUGGGCGUCUCGAGGGUGGCAGGGGUAUGCGGAACUAUCGGUGGAGCGGUGAAAUGCGUUGAUAUCGAUAGGAACUCCGGUGGCGAAGGCGGCAUACUGGUCCACUUCUGACGCUGAUGCGCGAAAGCCAGGGGAGCGAACGGG
rnacentral:rRNA from 1 species